UGGUGGCAGCGUGGCGAUUUGUUACCGGAUUGCGGGCCACGUUAAACAUGCCGCUAAAGAGGACUCUAGGUUGUUCAA
rnacentral:ncRNA from 2 species